UAAUUGAUUUGGACCAAGUUUAAUUGAUACACUUUUAGGUAGGUCUAAUGUAGCCUAAACAAUUAGGCUAUCUAUUUCUGUUAUCUAAUAGUUAAUUAUCUAUAUUGAGGCUGAACUUGGAUUACUUUCUGUUUAGGUUUAUUUUUAUUUCCAACAUACUUACUGAACAUUUGCACUGUAUAGCUUUUAUUUUGGUUCUACAGAGAAACACCCCUGGACAUGUUCAUGAUUUAAAAUAAAUAUUUUUAAUUCCACUAAAAUACAUUUUCAUCUUGCAGGAGGAGUCUGGUGAGACAGUGUGCGGUGACCGCAACGGAGUGGCGGUGUGGUUGUGCCCCCUGUGUCAACAAGGGUUACCAGACAGGGGCUCCCUUGCUCUGCACCUGAAUGAUGGGCAUAGUGUGCUUCCUAACUGUGUAGACAAGUUGCUGGACAUUGCUGCUCCCAAACAGGGAGUGAGUGGAGUGGACACCGAUGUUAAGCAUGAUACAGGUGAGUUUGUCCUCUGAUUUAACAGCAGUACCUACAGUUUUGCACUGUCUUUAUGAAUUUGAGUUAUGCAUUAUUUGAAUGGAUACAAGCACAUUGACAUAUUGAGUAGCCUAAACAAUUAGCUUGUGUUAAUUUUAAAUGCCUGUUCCUUGAAGGUUUAGACUUAAAAGUAUCAAUAUACUAUGACUGUAUUUGUGUUGUCAGUUAAUCAGGAUCUGUCAAGGUUCCAUGGACCCAAAACACCUGCUGAAAUAUCUUGUCUUUCUGCUUCACAUCAGAUGCUGCAUCAUUACAACUGAAGCUUUUAGAAGCUUCAGACUCCCUCUCAGACCCAUGUCAAAAUAAUGAGAACUCUGAAGGACCCCAGCAGAAUUACAACAGUAGGCACACUCUCAUUGGGC
rnacentral:lncRNA from 1 species